UACGGAGGAUCCAAGCGUUAUCCGGAAUCAUUGGGUUUCAAGGGUCCGUAGGUGGGCCGUUAAGUCAGAGGUGAAAUCCUGCAGCUCAACUGUAGAAUUGCCUUUGAUACUGGCGGCCUUGAAUUACUGUGAAGUGGUUAGAAUAUGUGGUGGAGCGGUGAAAUGCAUAGAGAGCACAUAGAAGACCGAUUGCGAAGGCAGAUCACUAACAGUACAUUGACACUGAUGGACGAAAGCGUGGGGAGCGAACAGG
rnacentral:rRNA from 1 species